GGAGUUAGCCGGUGCUUCUUCUGUGAGUGAUGUCCUUCCUGCCGGUUAUUGACCCGCAGGCCUUCUUCCUCACUGAAAGUGCUUUACAACCCGAAGGCCUUCUUCACACACGCGGCAUGGCUGGAUCAGGGUUGCCCCCAUUGUCCAAUAUUCCCCACUGCUGCCUCCCGUAGGAGUCUGGGCCGUGUCUCAGUCCCAGUGUGGCUGAUCAUCCUCUCAGACCAGCUACGGAUCGUCUCCUUGGUGAGCCGUUACCUCACCAACCAGCUAAUCCGACAUAGGCUCAUCCGAUAGCGCGAGGCCCGAAGGUCCCCCGCUUUCCCCCGUAGGGCGUAUGCGGUAUUAGCCUGGGUUUCCCCAGGUUAUCCCCCACUACCGGGCAGAUUCCUAUGCAUUACUCACCCGUCCGCCGCUCGCCACCAGGGAGCAAGCUCCCCGUGCUGCCGCUCGACUUGCAUGUGUUAGGCCUGCCGCCAGCGUUCAAUCUGAGCCAGAAUCGAACCCUGA
rnacentral:rRNA from 1 species